rnacentral:rRNA from 1 species
UACGUAGGGUGCAAGCGUUAAUCGGAAUUACUGGGCGUAAAGCGUGCGCAGGCGGUUGUGUAAGACAGAUGUGAAAUCCCCGGGCUCAACCUGGGAACUGCAUUUGUGACUGCACAGCUGGAGUGCGGCAGAGGGGGAUGGAAUUCCGCGUGUAGCAGUGAAAUGCGUAGAUAUCGGGAGGAACAUCAGUGGCGAAGGCGGCCCUCUGGUCCAGUACUGACACUCAAGUGCGAAAGCGUGGGGAGCAAACAGG